AAUAUUUGACAAUGGGCGAAAGCCUGAUACAGCCAUGCCGCGUGUGUGAAGAAGGNCUNNGGAUUNUNAAGUACUUUAUUUAGNNNNNAUGGGUUGUAGACUAAUACCCUGCACUUUUGACGUUACCAACAGAAUAAGCACCGACUAACGUAGUGCCAUCAGCCGCGGUAAUACGAAGGGUGCAAGCGUUAAUCGGAAUUACUGGGCGUAAAACGGGAGUAGGUGGUUUGUCAAAUUGGAAGUGAAAGCCCCGGGCUCAACCUGGGAGCUGCUUUCAAAACUGGCAAGCUAGAGUAUGGCAGAGGGUGGUGGAAUUUCCUGUGUAGCGGUGAAAUGCGUGGAUAUAGGAAGGAACAUCAGUGGCGAAGGCGACCACCUGGGCUAAUACUGACACUGAGGUGCGAAAGCGUGGGGAGCAAAC
rnacentral:rRNA from 1 species